rnacentral:rRNA from 1 species
AUGGAGAUAGGGUCGUUGCCUCCGGGUGAGAGGCCGCACGCCGUGAUGAUGCCCUACCCGGCGCAGGGUCACGUCACGCCGAUGCUGACGCUGGCCAAGCUGCUCCACACCAGGGGCUUCCACGUCACCUUCGUCAACAACGAGUUCAACCACCUCCGCCUGCUACGCUCGCAGCAGUCCGCGGACACGCUAGGCCUACCGGCGUUCCGGUUCGCCACCAUCGCCGACGGCCUUCCACCGUCCGACCUUGAGGCCUCGCGGGACACUCCGGCGCUCAAGUACUCAAUCAUGACCACCUGCCUUCCCAGGUUCAAGGAGCUGGUCGUCAAGCUCAACGAGGAGGCUGAAACCUCCGGCGGCGCCCUCCCGCCUGUAACCUGCGUGGUGGCUGAUAGCUGCACGAGUUUCGCCCUUGGCGCCGCGAGAGAGCUCGGCCUCCCCUGCGCCACCUUCUGGACCGCCAGUGCCUGUGGUUUCAUGGGCUACUGCCACUACAAGGAGCUGCUUAACCGUGGGCUCUUCCCUCUCAAAGAAGAGGCUCAGUUGAGCAAUGGAUACUUGGACACGACGAUCGACUGGAUACCAGCGAUGCCCAAGGACCAGGGCCGGCCCUGA